GAUGAACGCUAGCUACAGGCUUAACACAUGCAAGUCGCGGGGCCGCAUGGGGGUUGCUUGCGACCCCUGAUGGCGACAGGCGCACGGGUGAGUAACGCGUAUCCAACCUGCCCUUCACCACGGGAUAACCCGGCGACAGCCGGACUAAUACCGUAUGUUGUCCCUUCACGGGAUCCGUUGUGGACGAAACGCUUGGCGGUGAAAGGGUGGGGGUGCGUCCGAUUGGCUUGCGGGCGGGUUAACGGCCCACCGUGGCUACGGUCGGUAGGGGUUCUGAGGGGAAGGUCCCCCACACGGGACCUGGGACACGGUCCAGACUCCUACGGGAGGCAGCAGUGAGGGAUAUUGGUCAAGGGGCGUAAGCCUGAACCAGCCAAGUAGCGUGCAGGAUGACGGCCCUAUGGGGUGUAAACUGCUUUUAUGCGGGGAUAAAGUGGCCCACGGGUGGGCUUUUGCAGGUACCGCAUGAAUAAGGACCGGCUAAUUCCGUG
rnacentral:rRNA from 1 species